ACUGGGCGCAGUGGUGCAUGCCUGUAAUCCCAGCGGCUCAGGAGGCUGAGGCAGGAGGAUCGCAAGUUCCAAGCCAGCCUCAGCAAAAGCAAGGCCCUCAGCAACUCAGUGAGACCCUGUCUCUA
rnacentral:sRNA from 1 species